rnacentral:rRNA from 1 species
UCCUGACCUCGGAUCAGACGUGAAUACCCGCUGAACUUAAGCAUAUCACUAAGCGGAGGAAAAGAAACUAACAAGGAUUCCCUUAGUAACGGCGAGUGAACAGGGAAAAGCCCAGCACCGAAGCCUGUAGCCGUUUGGUUACUAGGCAAUGUGGUGUUCAGGUCGUCCCGCGAAGGUACUGCUCCAUCCCAAGUCCAGCAAUGAGUACGGUAAUAUUUACAUGGCCCAAAGAGGGUGAAAGGCCCGUUGGGGUGGAGGCGCAGUAAUGCCAGUGCUUUCCUGGGUAGACCUUGGAGUCGGGUUGUUUGAGAAUGCAGCCCAAAGUGGGUGGUAAACUCCAUCCAAAGGCUAAAUACUAACACGAGUCCGAUAGCGAACAAGUACCGUGAGGGAAAGUUGAAAAGUACUUUGAAGAGAGAGUAAACAGUACGUGAAACCGCUCAGGAGGUAAACGGGUGGAGUUGAACUGUGAUCUCUGUGAAUUUAGCUGGUGAGCAUGGUUUGAGCUUGGUCAAAUUGGUUGUUACUCGGGGUCUGCUUAGCUGCAGGUCUUUGCCUAUGGUGAAGAUGCGCGAGGCACUUGUCAGGUGUUGCGCGCCCCAUGUAAUUCAGGCCAGCUUGCCAGUGCACUUUCGCAGAGUGUUCACCACGACCGGCAUCGCUGUCCGGCUGAUGUGGUUAAACCGGUCUCGCAUUGUCCUUGUGGCUUUGCUUGGUCGGGAUGGCAGGUAGCCCUUGGACUUGCUCGCAGCUUGCUGUGGGUUCAGGUCCUUGGGUGUAAUCAGCUGACUACAUCGGUUCUGUGCAGUAUGUCGGAGACGGCGGCUUGUGGUGUGUGUGCGUGCGUACCAGUUGACUGGCGUGUCCGGGUUUGGUUAUUAUGUUGCCUGUGUUUACAGGCCUGGUGAUGGCCCGGGUUCGUUCGGUUGACGGUUGCGUGCGUGUCACUUUCCAGGGCCAAUAGUCUGUGGUGUUGCGGUAGACUUUCCACCUGACCCGUCUUGAAACACGGACCAAGGAGAGUAACAUGUACGCGAGUCAUUGGGCGUAACGAAACCCAAAGGCGAAGUGAAAGUAAAGGUCCGGCUUGUCUGGACUGAGGUGAGAUCCUGUCGUUUCUCACACGUGGUAUCACCAAGUAUCGAGCGACAGGCGCAUCACCGGCCCGUCCCAUGGUGUGGUGACAUUUUUUGGUGUUCGUCACCGGGGCGGAGCAUGAGCGUACAUGUUGAGACCCGAAAGAUGGUGAACUAUGCUUGCGCAGGUUGAAGCCAGAGGAAACUCUGGUGGAGGACCGCAGCGAUUCUGACGUGCAAAUCGAUCGUCAGACGUGAGUAUAGGGGCGAAAGACUAAUCGAACCAUCUAGUAGCUGGUUCCCUCCGAAGUUUCCCUCAGGAUAAGC